AUGGGUCAUCUUCUUCCCAAAAGGCGACUGAGAGCCGGAGGAAUUAAUGAAGUCCUCUGCAGCUGGCUCGAAAAUGCAGCUGCGUGGUUCCAUCCUGUGCCCCUAGGCUGCAGCCAGAGGCUGCCAGGCCCCUUCCCUGCUCGUCCCCUCCCCCUGCCCCCGCCCCCCGAGCAGAGGGGUCAACGUGUCACCUCCGUUCCUUUCCAACCCCACGAUGCAGUUACAACACGCUUCUGCCUCCUAUUUAACAGCAGGAAAGCCUCAGAGAAGCACUUCUUGCAACAUGCCCUGAGAUGCUGGAGGAGGAUGCUCCCCUUCACUUCAGUCUGGGAGUCAGGAGCAGGCUGGAUGCUCAGGUCCUUGCAAGGGGAUGUCUCACUUUCUUCAGACAACUGAAUGCAGGACCAGCUCUACAACCUGAG
ensembl:lncRNA